GCCCGCUCAGAAACUCAAAGGAAUUGACGGGGCCCGGCACAAGCGGUGGAGUAUGUGGUUAAUUCGAUGCAACGCGAAGAACCUUACCUGGUCUUGACAUCCCGGAGACCCUUAGGAAACUAGGGGGUGCUUCCAUCUGGAAGAAUCUGGAGACAGGUGCUGCAUGGCUGUCGUCAGCUCGUGUCGUGAGAUGUUGGGUUAAGUCCCGCAACGAGCGCAACCCUUGCCUUUAGUUGCCAGCAGUUCGGCUGGGCACUCUAAAGGGACUGCCGGUGUUAAACCGGAGGAAGGUGGGGAUGACGUCAAGUCCUCAUGGCCUUUAUGACCAGGGCUACACACGUACUACAAUGGCCGAUACAAAGGGCAGCGACACUGCGAGGUGAAGCCAAUCCCGUAAAAUCGGUCUCAGUCCGGAUUGGAGUCUGCAACUCGACUCCAUGAAGUUGGAAUCGCUAGUAAUCGUGGAUCAGCAUGCCACGGUGAAUACGUUCCCGGGCCUU
rnacentral:rRNA from 1 species